CACACUAGAUGGCAUACCACUAAUCCUGGACAACUGUAGCAUUGAUGAUAAUAAUCCUUGUAUCCUUCAUUGGUGUUGUCAGCAUUUAAAGAUCUGCUCAUUUGGUCUGAUAAGCAUAUAUUAGUUCAGUCAUUCUGGAACUUGCUUUAGGACUUUGAUACUUUGUUGGAAAGUUCUGAUUUCCCUUCCCCUGGCUUACACCUUUAUCACCAUGACACACAGCAGGAUAAGAGGAAGGAAAAUGAGUAUUCUCAGUGAAAUAGAUUCGACAUCUGACAUGUCAAAAUGUCCACCAUUGAUUAACCAAUUUGCAGUACAACCACAACUUUAAUGUUACUCAACAUAGCAGCACAAGUAUGAAAGAUGUGAACAGCUUUUUAACUCAACACACAAAAAUCAAGCAUCC